rnacentral:pre_miRNA from 1 species
AUAAUUGACAGAUACUCUACGGUCUACCGAGCAAAUAUCACCCGCUCGGUGGAAGAUCUUCCCUUUGUCGU